UGGGGAAUAUUGCACAAUGGGCGCAAGCCUGAUGCAGCCAUGCCGCGUGUAUGAAGAAGGCCUUCGGGUUGUAAAGUACUUUCAGCGGGGAGGAAGGUGUUGAGGCUAAUAACCUCAGCAAUUGACGUUACCCGCAGAAGAAUCACCGGCUAACUCCGUGCCAGCAGCCGCGGUAAUACGGAGGGUGCAAGCGUUAAUCGGAAUUACUGGGCGUAAAGCGCACGCAGGCGGUCUGUCAAGUCGGAUGUGAAAUCCCCGGGCUCAACCUGGGAACUGCAUUCGAAACUGGCAGGCUAGAGUCUUGUAGAGGGGGGUAGAAUUCCAGGUGUAGCGGUGAAAUGCGUAGAGAUCUGGAGGAAUACCGGUGGCGAAGGCGGCCCCCUGGACAAAGACUGACGCUCAGGUGCGAAAGCGUGGGGAGCAAACA
rnacentral:rRNA from 1 species